rnacentral:rRNA from 1 species
GAUGAACGCUGGCGGCGUGCCUAAUACAUGCAAGUCGAGCGAACGGACGAGAAGCUUGCUUCUCUGAUGUUAGCGGCGGACGGGUGAGUAACACGUGGAUAACCUACCUAUAAGACUGGGAUAACUUCGGGAAACCGGAGCUAAUACCGGAUGAUAUUUUGAACCGCAUGGUUCAAAAGUGAAAGACGGUCUUGCUGUCACUUAUAGAUGGAUCCGCGCUGCAUUAGCUAGUUGGUAAGGUAACGGCUUACCAAGGCAACGAUGCAUAGCCGACCGGAGAGGGUGAUCGGCCACACUGGAACUGAGACACGGUCCAGGCUCCUACGGGAGGCAGCAGUAGGGAAGCUUCCGCAAUGGGCGAAAGCCUGACGGAGCAACGCCGCGUGAGUGAUGAAGGUCUUCGGAUCGUAAAACUCUGUUAUUAGGGAAGAACAUAUGUGUAAGUAACUGUGCACAUCUUGACGGUACCUAAUCAGAAAGCCACGGCUAACUACGUG